rnacentral:lncRNA from 1 species
UAGGGGUCCAGUCAAGAAUGGAUGUCUUCCUAAAAGACAUGCCCCAGUUCAACAGGAAGUUACUGGGCUCAGUGUAGAAAUCAACUGGUGAAAUUCUCUGAACUGUGUUUGGCAGCAGUCCAGACCAAAGGAUCCAGUGGUAUCCGCUGGCUCACUAAAGCAAAAACAGACUGCCUCAGAAGGAACAGCAAACAGCUUUCCUCUGGAUCAGACAUCAAAGCAGGGAAAUGUAGCAUUUGACAAGUAUGCUGUAUAUGGUGUAGCAAGAGGCUCAUAUCACUGUCACUCCAUUUGGAAGAACAAAAGGAAGAGGAGUUUUUUGUCACCCGUGUGCUGCAGACACAGAGAGACUGACUGUUGAAUCACCUCAGCAUAGCUGCCAUAUUUCUUGUAUUAGAAAAGCCAGUUUGUAAAGUGGUUCGCCAAAGCUGGAACUCCCGUGGCAAAUCCUAGCCCCUUCCCCCAAGGGGUCGGAGGAGCAAUUGCGUUUUGGCCUCAAAGAGAAAUCCUGUUGACUGGAACAAGGGCUGCUGCAGCCAGGGCUGGAACAAAACUUUUUAAGCCUAGAGCUGAGAAAACACCAGGUGGUAACAGGAGCUGCAAAUUGCUAAGUAACUCUGGCAAAGUUCCUCUGCACCCUCAUUUCCAGAAAAAAGCCCUGAGGCUGUUUUCUCUAUCUGUGGAGCGGCCUCCUUCCUUUAGCGAGUUCAGGAUUUGCAGACGUAAGGAGGAGAGCAGCGAGAGCUGA